rnacentral:lncRNA from 1 species
CACUAAUAGAGACAAAGAAUUUUACAAGAACAGAAACUUAGACAGGUGAAAGCAUUUUGUAACUUACACUGAGUUUUCUCACUUGUGUCGUUUCAAAGAAGAUGACACAGACGUAGUCCUCACACUCCCAAAAGUUCACAAUCUAGUAGGGGAGAUGAAGCCUGUAGAUAAAUUUUCUCAUUGCAGAAUAGAAUAUGGUACGUGUCACAAGGCAAAGAGCAAUUCCCUGUUCUUUGGGAAUGGACAGCUAACCCGGAGUCCCAAGCCAGCACAUUCAUGGUCCUCAGAGUUUGAGAGAGAGAGAGACUCCGCACCCUGCCUUGGGGUCUGGGCUGUGUCUGGGCAGUACCCCGUGGUGGAAUUUGGACGUGUAAAUAUGGAGGACCAAGUGACUCUACUUUUGUUACCAUCAAGGUAUUUGAAGAUUCCAGGGAGUCAGCCCAUUCCUGAGCAGGCAUCCACCUGACAUGUGAAGAAACCAGAAAGUACAAUCUAUAACAAGGACAAAAAACAGUAAAGAGAGAUGGA